rnacentral:ribozyme from 1 species
UUCUGCUACACCACUGGUAAGGGUACGGAUUCCGAUGCCUCUUGAAGGCUACUCAGACUCUCCGUACACUAUUCUUUCUCAAAACGUCCAUGGCGUCUAGAACGGUAAUAUGCCAUUCCACUCAUCUGAGCUUGGGUUUACUAGGUAACCCAACCCUUUGAGAAGAUGGAUUUCAAGGCUAAUUUGAGAGGA